AGCUGGUCCGAUGGCAGUGGGUUAUCAGAACUUAUUAACAUUAGUGUCACUAAAGUUGGUAUACCGCCCGCUACUGCUAAAUUUGACUGGAAAA
rnacentral:Y_RNA from 1 species